AAAUAAAAAAAAUGGCAAGAGCUGAAAUCACUUGUAGGCUAUAAAGUGAGAAUUGUGAAAGGUAAAGUCACAACUACUUUUUUUUCUUUUCUUUUUUUUUCUGUGUGUGUGAACAGGUGUUCAUACUUGACUUACUAAGUGGCCUUUCUGUGCUUUUCAUCUGUGACUCACCAGGAUAAAAGCAUCUGCUGAGGAAUACCGGUAAAUGAAACUGGCAACGGGACACAAAGCAUUUCUUCGACUGUCGAGCCUUUUGAUUAUGCACUCGAAUCUGCGAGACGGAAGAAGAAGAGCAGAGACUCAGGGGGGUAAAGACAGCUGGUGAGGCAAACAUUUGUUUCAAUUUUUUAAUUAAAAUGAAAACAGACCAUUGAUUCCCCCUAAGUGAGAGCAGUGCAGCCUAAAAAGGCAUCCAUCUCAUUUGAAAGUGUGACAAGGAGUAUUGAGGUGGAUGUGUGAUCUGCGUGAGGCAAUUAAUAAACUGGUUCCUUUAGAAGACUAACAUUAAAGCAUCGUUAUGAAGAACUGAUCUCCUGUACUACUGCUUUGAGUCUGUCCCAUUACAGAGAACAUAAAUGAUUGGUUAAACUAUGGCUCCAUUGAUUAGUUGAUUGACUGAUGCUGUCAUUAAAGUGUGAUUUAGACUGCAAGUGUGAUGUCUAGACAACUGAGAAAACAGGACAUGCAAAAGCACUGAUAACUAAAAGAAUCAAAAGAGACUGUUGUAAAUUUGCAUGCUUUUUUAAGUAAAUAAAGAUAGAACACAUGUAGAAUGCCAAUUUAAACACUAAAUAUAUUUUGGAAUUUGGGGCAGAGUAGUCUAUAUUAAAACUACUUAGAAACUCUUGGAUCUCCUGUCAGACGGGUUACAUUAUUGAUACCAAGCUCAAAACUGAGCUCUUAAUCCAUUUUUUUUUCAAAAGCAGACUGCUCUUAAAGCUUGCCUUCAUGAAAUCAAGCAUAGAUGCUUUCCAGUAGCAGCUGGUGUUUCUCUAGAGUGGGGAAGCAGAUAUGUCACAUAUCAAUGGUAAAAUCUGUACUGAGAUCUAUUUCAGACCUGGAGGGUUACACCUAAAAGCUGUUUCUCAAACUGCUGCUAAACAGUGAAAUGUUGAUGGCAGUGGCAACAGGCAGAAGAAAAGACUAUGAAUGCAACGCUAAAUGUUACAUUAGAGUUCAAAUAAAUGCAUCUCAGAGCACUUACUGUAUUUUUACAUUGUAAAAUGUUCUCAUGUGAAGCUUGUCCAAUCAUCAUGUGAGAAUUCCAUCUAAAGAAAAGAAAAAGAAAAAAAAACUUUGUGUGUGUGAGAGAGAGAGAGAGAGAGAGAGAGAGAUAGUCAAAGAUGUUGAUAGAGACUUGUUUGUAUUAUAUGGAUAACGUAUCUCGUUAUUCACCAUUUUCUUUCACAUUAUGACUUUACAAAGUGA
ensembl:lncRNA